rnacentral:lncRNA from 1 species
CCAUUCAGGAAUAGAGGUAGUCCCACCCAACAUCAUAUCAAGCUUGACUAAAUUGGAGGAGUUGUACAUGGGUAAUACCUCUAUUAAUUGGGAAGAUGUGAGUUCAACGGUUCAUAAUGAAAAUGCUAGUCUUGCCGAGCUUCGAAAACUACCCAAAUUGACAGCUCUAGAAUUACAAAUUCGUGAGACUUGGAUGUUGCCAAGGGACUUGCAAUUGGUGUUUGAGAAGCUGGAAAGAUAUAAAAUAGCUAUUGGAGAUGUAUGGGACUGGUCUGACAUCAAGGAUGGAACCUUAAAAACAUUGAUGCUCAAACUUGGUACAAACAUACAUUUGGAGCAUGGAAUUAAAGCAUUGAUUAAAGGUGUUGAGAAUUUGUAUUUGGAUGAUGUAGAUGGAAUUCAAAAUGUGCUUCCUAACCUAAAUAGAGAAGGAUUUACAUUGCUGAAACAUCUCCACGUCCAAAAUAAUACUAACUUGAAUCACAUUGUUGACAAUAAAGAGAGAAAUCAAAUCCAUGCGUCCUUUCCCAUCUUGGAAACACUAGUACUUCUUAAUCUUAGAAACUUGGAGCAUAUAUGUCAUGGUCAACCUUCAGUUGCUUCUUUUGGAAGUCUCAGUGUUAUCAAAGUAAAAAAUUGCGUCCAGUUAAAGUAUCUUUUCUCCUUUACAAUGGUUAAAGGACUUUCUCACCUUUGUAAGAUUGAAGUUUGUGAGUGCAAUUCUAUGAAGGAGAUAGUGUUCAGAGACAACAAUUCAAGUGCUAAUAAUGAUAUCACUGAUGAAAAAAUCGAGUUUCUUCAAUUGCGUUCUUUGACUUUAGAACAUUUGGAGACACUUGAUAAUUUCUUCUCAUAUUAUUUGACACAUUCUAGAAAUAAGCAAAAGUGUCAUGGUUUAGAGCCGUGUGAUUCUGCACCAUUUUUUAAUGCUCAGGUAUGUUAUUUUGUUUUUAAGUUUCUCUCGAUACAAAUGAUAAAAUUUUUAAUAUCAAUUUGCAAUAUAUAUAUAUAUAUAUAUAUAUAUAGGGUGUAUCAAAUGAGAGGAGUGUUAAAAUGAGAGAUGAGAGCAUUAAAGGAAAGCCGUUGGAUUAAAAAUCAACCGCUCAGAUCCACUUUUAGUUAUUAGUGUGUAUUAUAUGCUCCUUUAUUUUCUCACGCGCUAAUGAGAUCGCGUUAUUAUCUUCACCUUCAAUCUCUCUCUUUUCCAUUUUUCGAUUGACAAUCCAAGCAAUUUAGUGGCACCUGUGUCAAAUUGCAUCUCUAUUCUAAAACACAAUUUCAGUUCACCAUUAUAUCCAAAAUCAAUAGAAACUUAAGUGAAUCAUAAACACCCAGAUUUUGGAUUUUGUAAAAAUUUCCCCUCUUUACCAAUGCAUUGAUACCAAGAAAAUAAAUAAAUAAAUAAAUAAAGUUUGAAUAAUCAAAGACUAUUAACAUGAUUAUUCAAUGGAAGAUGUUUUACAAUUUUUAAUGGAUGAUUGUUGAAGAGAAACUGAAAUCAAAACGGAAGAUGACCGUGAAAAAAAUAAAAAUUAGUAAGAGCUAUCAUUUGGUGUGAUUCUAAACGUGUGAUUCUUUUUUGGAUUAAAAAUAAGAUUUGAUGCAUCAAAAUUGCCUUGCCCAAAAAUCUGGAAAAAAGAUUAUAGACUGGGGUUUUAGAGAUGAAAGAAACACCAACAGGAGAGGAGAAGGCGAGAGAAGAAAGCAAAAGCGGAAAUGAAGGGAAUAAAAGAGAUUACAGGCUUGCAGAUUUAAAAAUGAAGUAACUCAAUUAAGAUGGAUCCAAGGGUUGUGAUUUAACCCUCUCAUCUCUCAAUGUAAAUAUUGCUCUCAUUUGAUACAUCCCAUAUAUAAAUAUAUACACGCAAAUAUAGGUGUGUGUGUGUGUGUGUGAGGCCUAUCAUUAUAGUCACCAUAUCACCAUAUAUAGGCCUUCAAUAAUGUUUUUGUUAAUUUGUUUUUACGUAGGUUGCAUUUCCUAAUUUGGAUACCCUUAAAUUGAGCUCACUUCUCAAUUUGAAUAAAGUCUGGGAUGACAAUCAUCAAUCAAUGUGCAACUUGACUAGCUUGAUUGUGGAUAAUUGUGUUGGAUUGAAGUAUUUAUUUCCCUCUACUUUGGUUGAAAGUUUUAUGAACCUCAAACACCUUGAAAUAAGUAACUGUCAUAUGAUGGAGGAGAUAAUAGCUAAAAAAGACAGAAACAAUGCACUGAAAGAGGUAUGCUAAUUCUAUUAUUGGAGCAUCCAAUUAAUUUUAAAUAAUUAUUUAUUCUGAUGGUAGUUAUUUAUGAAUUCAUAGGUUCGUCUUUUAAAUUUAGAAAAAAUCAUAUUGAAGGAUAUGAACAACUUGAAGACAAUAUGGCAUCGGCAAUUUGAAACAUCGAAGAUGUUGGAAGUGAACAAUUGUAAGAAAAUUGUGGUGGUUUUUCCUUCUUCAAUGCAAAACACAUAUAACGAGCUUGAGAAGUUGGAGGUUAGAAAUUGUGCUUUAGUUGAAGAGAUAUUUGAAUUGACUUUCAAUAAAAAUAACAGUGUAGAGGUUACGACACAUUUGAAAGAAGUUACUAUAGAUGGACUGUUGAAGCUGAAAAAGAUAUGGAGUGGAGAUCCUGAAGGAAUUCUUAGUUUUCGAAAUCUAAUAAAUGUACAACUAGUUAGUUGUAGAAGCUUGGAGUAUCUAUUACCACUCUCCGUAGCCACUCGUUGCUCACAUCUCAAGGAACUUGGUAUAAAAUGGUGUGAAAACAUUAAGGAAAUUGUUGCAGAGGAGAAAGAAUCUAGCUUGAGUGCAGCUCCCAUAUUUGAGUUUAAUCAACUAAGUACUUUAUUGCUUUGGAACUUACCUAAACUCAAUGGUUUCUAUGCUGGAAAUCAUACUCUAGCAUGCCCAUCUUUGAGAAAAAUCAAUGUCUCUAGAUGUACAAAGUUGAAAUUGUUCAGAACACUAUCUACAAGAAGCUCCAAUUUUCGAGAUGACAAACCCUCUGUUUUAACGCAACCACCACUUUUCAUUGCCGAAGAGGUACGUAUAAUAAACACUUUGCAGGACUUGUUUUUAUUUUAUUUUACAUUAAGGAGUUAGCGUUAUUCUUUAAUCUUUUGAAAUACCGAUCAACUACUUCCUCUGAUCCUAAAUAUAUGAAAAGUAUCUUUUCUUUAGGUUCCUUGAAUAAUUAAUGCAUUUGAACUAUACUAUAUAAACUAAAUACAUCGUUUAUUCAAUGAACCUAAAAAUAAAAAUUUCUCUGAUAUUUAGGACCAGGAGUAUUACUAUUCAUUUAUAAAUUUGGAAAAAUUUAAAACUACCCAAAAACUUUAUAAAAUGACAAAGCCUAUUUAAUGUCAAAAGUUAUUAAAAUAUUUUACAUUAUAGAUAUCUCCCUACGGUCUCGAAUGUGAGAAACAAAACAAAAAAUUUGAUGGUCUCAAAUAUAAGCAAAAAUAUACAAAAGUCGUCCUAUUAAAUGUUGCUAUUCCAAUCUCACCCUCAUUAUCUUUAUUUAAUUUGUUUCACAUUCCCAUGUUUAACACUUUCUAAAGAUUAUUCAUUGGUUUAGUUCAAAAGUCAUGUUUUCUUGUAAAAUGUUUCUAUCAUUAAUGUUUGAAUGUGUACUACUUGAGAAAUAACUCCAGAACAAGGGAAAAAAAAAUAGAAAAAUGGUAUUUUUUUAUAAUGACUUAAAUACAGUCAUUCCACUUUCUUCGUAGGUGUUCCUUUUUUUUUUCCUUACAUUCAAGAUCGGAAGGAGUACUUGAUAAUUUCUAUAACAAAAAUAACAACUAGCAAGAGUGGCAUUUAAAUACAAAAUUGAUAUAUUUGAGUAUAAAAGAAAUUGAAAAAAGUAUAGAGAUAUUGGCAAAAAUUAAAAAGACAAAUUUUAGUCAAUAGUAAUUAUUGUUUCACUCAAUAAUAAAAUGUUUAAUUCUCUUACAUUGUUGUUUAAAUAUGUUUUAGGUGAUUCCAAACUUGGAGCUGUUGAGGAUGGUACAGGCAGAUGCUGACAUGAUAUUGCAAACUCAAAACUCAAGUGCCCUCUUUAGCAAAAUGACUUCUAUUGGCUUGACUAGCUAUAACACUGAAGAGGCUAUAUUUCCUUAUUGGUUUCUUGAAAAUGUGCAUACUCUUGAGUUACUACUUGUUGAGUGGAGUUGCUUCAAGAAGAUAUUUCAAGAUAAAGGAGAAAUAAGUGAGAAGACUCUUACACAAAUCAAAACACUGAUGUUGAAUGAAUUACCUAAACUUCAAUAUAUAUGUGAUGAAGGAUCUCAAAUUGACCCAGUUCUUGAGUUCCUUGAAUACUUAAUGGUUCGUAGUUGUUCUAGUUUGACAAAUUUGAUGCCUUCCUCUGUCACUCUUAAUCAUCUGACGCAGUUGGAGAUAAUAAAAUGCAAUGGGCUAAAAUAUUUAUUCACAACUCCUACGGCGCAAAGUUUAGACAAACUCACGGUGCUGCAGAUAGAAGAUUGUAGUUCACUUGAAGAAAUAAUUACUGGAGUAGAAAAUGUUGACAUUGCUUUUGUUAGUUUACAAAUUUUGAAUUUGGAAUGUUUGCCAAGCCUCGUCAAAUUUUGCUCUAGUGAGUGUUUCAUGAAGUUUCCGUCAUUGGAGAAAGUAAUUGUUGGCGAAUGUCCUCGCAUGAAGAUUUUUUCUGCCGGACACACAAGUACACCAAUUCUUCAAAAAGUCAAAAUUGCAGAAAAUGAUUCAGAAUGGCAUUGGAAGGGAAACCUAAACAAUACAAUAUACAACAUGUUCGAAGAUAAGGUAUGCUUGAUUUACAACGCGCACACGUUUGUGUGUGUACAUUGUGACCAUAUAUCGUUAAAAAGUAGUUGUAAGAAUUUUUCAAAAGAAAAGUGAAAGUAAUUGCAUUUCAAAUUUACAAAGAACAUUUUUACCUAUGUAUAUAGAUUUUGUAAAUGCACUAUAUGUUACUACUACUUUUGUUUGAACUAACUCAUAAUACAAUUGUUUUACAGGUGGGAUUUGUUAGUUUCAAGCAUUUACAACUAUCUGAAUAUCCCGAGUUAAAAGAAUUGUGGUAUGGUCAACACGAGCAUAACACAUUUAGGAGUUUGAAGUAUCUAGUGGUUCAUAAAUGUGAUUUUUUGUCCGAUGUGCUCUUUCAACCUAACUUGUUAGAAGUGCUGAUGAAUCUGGAAGAAUUAGAUGUGGAGGAUUGUAAUUCAUUAGAAGCAGUUUUUGAUUUGAAAGAUGAAUUUGCCAAAGAAAUUGUUGUGCGGAAUUCUACUCAAUUGAAGAAACUAAAAAUAUCUAAUCUUCCAAAACUGAAGCAUGUAUGGAAAGAGGUAAGGGUAUCAUUAAAUAUCAUCCUUGCUCUGAAUAUACAUAAUACUAAUUAGGCUAAAUUGCUCACUUUGAAUAGGUUUUUUUUAAGGAUGAGUUAGACCUAAUAUAAGAUUUAAUAUGGUAUUAGAGCCUAUUCUAGACCCAUUAGGUCAAUGCUUCAGACCCAUUAGGUCUGAGCAUGAGGGGGUGUGUUGGAAAUUCCUUUUAUUGCGGUUUACCUUUAGCCGCUCCGACACUUGUGCUACAUUCAUUGCAGCCUUCAACACAUUUAUUGUAUUGAAUUUGGAGGGGUGAAUUUAGACCCACUUUGCUUAGAGAUAUGGCAUGUGUAGUGUUUAUAAAGUUUGGACAAUCCUCGUUUUACAAGUCGGUAUUGUAAACAUGACUUCGGCCCAAUAUAGAAUUUAAUAUUUAUAUGACAACCCAUCUUUAUAGGCAUAUUAAUUAUUAUACAUCAAUACUAAACCCUUACAAAGAAAAACAUUAGUAAAAUAACUCUUAGCGUUUGUUUCAAGUUUACCAAAUUUAUUCCUAGGAAUAACAUUCCUUGGAAUAUAAAGAUGAGAAUUUUUAUUUCAAGGUAUUUGGAAAAAAUAUGUUUGGUUAACUUUAUAAUAUUCCUAGGAACCAUAAAAUUAGGGAUUAUAAUAGGUAACUACAUAUGAAUUUAUUCUCAUCUCCAUGGGAACUUUAUUCCCACCAUUUUCUUUGGGAAAUUUUUUCUAUUCCCAGGAACAUUUUAUAUCCGGGAAUAAAAUUUAGUAAACUUGUAACAAACGUAUACAUAUAUAUUUCUAUCAUUUUAUUCUCAGGAAUCAACAAAUUUAACUUGAAACAAACCCAUCAAUCAUCGGUUAGUGAAGCUCUUAAUAUGUAGACACUCUCUAACUAUGAUAAUCGAAUGAAGUUUAUUGCUCCUCACCUCUCAAAUUCUCUCUCCGGGUUUCUCUAACUUCACACUAAUCAAUACAACUAUUUGAACUCUUUUUUACUUGUUGUGAUUGAUUCUAGACCCAAAAUUAUGUUAGAUAUCUUGUUUGUUGGGAAGAGGCUGCUGCACUUGAAACCUGAAAUGUUUAAUGCUUACGCAUGUAAAAUUCAAAGCGCAUGGGGUUGCCACACUAACCUUUAGGUUCGAUUCGCCCCCACCAAUAACUGUAUAUUGGAUGCAAUAGGAGUUACCGGCGAAUCCCCUUCAGGAUACUAUGAGUUCCUUGACGUGUAUUGCACAACCACACCAAGCGUAUCUCCUAACAGUAUUUUACAGAUUUAUGGUUUCAGCAAUUCACUCAUGCAUUAGAGAAUUAAUGGAUGAUUUAGAGAGCAAGAGAAUGAGGGAGAAUUAUGUUGUUAAUGCAACAAAAUUCUAUCCAAAAUUGUGUGUCAAAUUAAUGCCAAGUAUUUAUAGUGCAUUAUAUGACCCUUCACAUGAGAGAAAACACCCCUUUGACUUGAAUCAAUGUUAUGGUUCAUUAAGUACCCUUUUGCCAAGGGUUAUGAUCAUACACACUUGAGUCAAUGCAAAAGUUCAUUAAGCACCUAUUUGCCAAAGGUUCCAAUGUAUAUGAAAGACUCUCAUGAAGAGUUACAACUCUUGGUGAAGAGUUACAACUUUUGGUUCUAAAGUGAUUCCAUUAUUUUGGAAAUUACCAAUAAAUUAUAAGAAAACAGGUAUAGAUUUUGGGAUGUGUAAUCCUUCAAUUAUGAUUUCUGUUAAUCUGUUUUUAUCCAUGCAGGAUGCAUUUCCUAGUUUGGAUACCCUUAAAUUGAGCUCACUUCUCAAUUUGAAUAAAGUCUGGGAUGACAAUCAUCAAUCUAUGUGCAACUUGACUAGCUUGAUUGUGGAUAAUUGUGUUGGAUUGAAGUAUUUAUUUCCCUCUACUUUGGUUAAAAGUUUUAUGAACCUCAAACACCUUGAAAUAAGUAAUUGUCCUAUGAUGGAGGAGAUAAUAGCUAAAAAGGAGAGAAAUAAUGCAUUAAAAGAGGUAUGGUAAUUCUGUUAUUGAAAACUUACAAUUAUUUUAAACUUGUACUGAUGGUGGUUAUUCAUGAAUUGAUAGGUUCAUUUAUUGAAAUUAGAGAAAAUUAUACUGAAGGAUAUGGACAACUUGAAGUCAAUAUGGCACCACCAAUUUGAAACAUUGAAGAUGUUGGAAGUGAACAAUUGUAAGAAAAUUGUGGUGGUUUUUCCUUCUUCAAUGCAAAACACAUAUAAUGAGCUAGAGAAGUUGGAGGUCACAAACUGUGCUUUAGUUGAAGAGAUAUUCGAAUUGAAUUUCAAUGAAAAUAACAGUGAAGAGGUUAUGACACAAUUGAAAGAGGUUACUAUAGAUGGACUGUUCAAGUUGAAAAAGAUAUGGAGUGGAGAUCCUCAAGGAAUUCUUAGUUUUCAAAAUCUAAUAUAUGUACUACUAGAUGGUUGUACAAGCUUGGAAUAUCUAUUACCACUCUCCGUAGCCACUCGUUGCUCACAUCUCAAGGAACUUGGUAUAAAAUGGUGUGAAAACAUGAAGGAAAUUGUUGCAGAGGAGAAAGAAUCUAGCUUGAGUGCAGCUCCCAUAUUUGAGUUUAAUCAACUAAGUACUUUAUUACUUUGGCACUCACCUAAACUCAAUGGUUUCUAUGCUGGAAAUCACACUCUGCUAUGUCCAUCUUUGAGGAAUAUUGGUGUCUCUAGAUGUACAAAGUUGAAAUUGUUCAGAACUCUAUCCAAUUUUCAAGAUGACAAACACUCUGUUUCAACGAAACAACCACUUUUUAUUGCCGAACAGGUAUGCAUAUCAUAUAAAUUUAUAUAUCAUAAUGACUCUGAUUCAUUCAGCUCUAACAGUCAUUGUCUAUUUACAUGUCUGGUAAUUAAAGUAUAAAAACAAAAAUGAAAUCUCUAAAAAAAUUAUAAAAUAUGUAUUUUUAAAUAUUUUUAAAAACGCCAUAUAAUCAAUUGAGAGCAAAAUAUUUUGAACUAUUAAUAUCAAAUGUUAUUAAAAUAUUUUACUUCAUAGAUGUGCUUUAUAAUUUCUAUAACAAAAAUAACAACUACUAACAUUGGCCAUUUCUCAAAAGUAUUUGAUAAAUUCUAUAAAAGAUAUAUGUGAGUUUAAAAGAAAUUGAAAAAAGUAGAGUAUUGGCAAAUAUUUUUUUUAAUUAUUUUACAUUGUUGUUCAAAUAUGUUUUAGGUGAUUCCAAACUUGGAAAUGUUGAGGAUGCAACAGACGGAUGCUGACGUGAUAUUGCAAUCUCAAAACUCAAGUGCCCUCCUUAGCAAAAUGACCAUUCUUGGUUUGGCUUGCUAUAACACUGAAGAGGCUACAUUUCCUUAUUGGUUUCUUGAAAAUGUGCAUACUCUUGAGAAACUACAUGUUGAGUGGAGUUGCUUCAAGAAGAUAUUUCAAGAUAAAGGAGAAAUAAGUGAGAAGACUCAUACACAAAUCAAAACACUGAUGUUGAAUGAAUUACCUAAACUUCAACAUAUAUGUGAUGAAGGAUCUCAAAUUGACCCAGUUCUUGAGUUCCUUGAAUACUUAAGGGUUCGUAGUUGUUCUAGUUUGACAAAUUUGAUGCCUUCCUCCGUCACCCUUAAUCAUCUGACGCAGUUGGAGAUAAUAAAAUGCAAUGGGCUAAAAUAUUUAUUCACAACUCCUACUGCACGAAGUCUGGACAAGCUCACAGUGCUGAAGAUAAAAGAUUGUAAUUCACUUGAAGAAGUAGUUAAUGGAGUAGAAAAUGUUGACAUUGCUUUUAUUAGUUUACAAAUUUUGAUGUUGGAAUGUUUGCCAAGCCUCAUCAAAUUUUGCUCUAGUAAGUGUUUCAUGAAGUUUCCGUUGUUGGAGAAAGUAAUUGUGAGGGAAUGUUCUCGUAUGAAGAUUUUUUCUGCUGGAGACACAAGCACACCAAUUCUUCAAAAAGUCAAAAUUGCAGAAAAUGAUUCAGAAUGGCAUUGGAAGGGAAACUUAAACGAUACAAUAUACAACAUGUUUGAAGAUAAGGUAUGUUUAUUUACCACUUUACUGCUUGUGUAACAAUAUUAUGAUUUGGGUUUCUAUUUUCUUUUAUUUUCUUUGGAUGCAUAAUAGUAGAUUUUUAAUUAUCAAUGUUGAAACUCUGGAAAAACAUAAUGGUGAAUAUGGCAACAACAAUAGUGUGAAAAGGGGUGGAAAGGAUGCCCAUUACCAAUUAGCAACCAUGGUGCUUAAAUGUGCUUGGUGAGCCAGGUGUCCAUCCAAAAUUCAGUUGAGCCCAUUAUCUUCCACCAUAUGAAUGUAUCAGUGUAAUUGUUAGUUAAGCAUGUAAUUAGUUUAGAACUAGUUAAGCCAUCUGUAUAUAGUUGGCACCUGAGCUGUCAAGUAACUGACUUGUGUCAGUUAGAGAUAAGUUAACAUGCUAUUGCAGGUAUUCAACAGCUUCGUAUAUAAAAGUUUGUUAGAAAAUUCUCGUUGAGUUUCUCUUAGUUUUACAUGGUAUCAGAUUAAUCUUUGAUCCAUGGCAACCUCUACGAUUCCCACUCUGCCGUCGCCACCGCCAAAAAAUGGUAUGCCGGCAACUCCGAUGGUUAUGCACACUCUUCUGCUCAGUUCCUUCGUAGAGGAAGAUUGAUCAAUGCAUUUUUGCAAUUUCUUUUUAUCCUGCAUUUUAACAUUUUGAAAGCUUUUUAUAUGUUUCUACAUAUUGGGUAUGAUUUGAGGGUUAAUGUAAUAAUUCUUGGAUUAAUCUCUGUAUUUAAUGUGUUCUGACUCAUGUUCAUUGUGUAGGCCAUAACUUCGGUUGAGGUUAUCCAAACUAGGCGUAAGUAUAGGCGUUGGAAAGCUAAGAAAUAGAUCUACAACUAUUAUGUUGAGCAGGAAUCCCAGUUUGGAUGUUCUCUUGAUGAACAAUUAUCAUCUCUGAAUCACUAAAGCUGAUGUGGGAUUUUGGGCCACUUAAUCUUUUGCCAUAAUGGGCCGAUUAGUCCUUUUAGCCCAACAAUUGAUCAAAUUCGGUUUUGCUAAUUAGGUUAAACUUGUAAUGGUAUAAAUAAGGCUGCUAUAGCCGGAACAUGGGGAUCUUUUGGCAGCUGUCAUUUGUUAUUUUCGAUGGAAGCUUAAUCAUGUAGAUCAAUUCACCUGUUAAGGAUUCUGUUUAAUGUCAUGAGGUCUGAAUUCUAAUGUCAAUUCUGUUUCUUAUGAUUUAAUAUCUUUUUACUUUCAAUAUUCUAUUUUUCCAUGAUCAUAUAUGUUUGGACGCUUGUUUCAUUUCAUAUUGAUUCUCAGUGGCGGAUGUUGAUUUAUUUUCUUGGGGGUACCAAACAGUUAUGGAAUAUAUAUUAUAUUAAAAUGAUUCAAUAAAUAGCAGUAGAACUCAAGUGUUCUGGUGGUUUGUAUUGCCGCAAACAUACCUGGCUGGUGCGGGUCGAACAUGCUACCUUCAUCAUAUAGAGGCACCCCCUUACCACUGCAACCACUGAGAAUUUAUUGAAAGUAUGGGCAUAAGGGCAUAAUACUAUAAAUAUAAUAUAGUAAGUUCAGGGGAUGCCAUGGCACCUGCCUGCCCUUGAGAAGAUCCGCCCCUGUUGAUUCUACCGAUUAAAAUUCAUAAUAAGUUCAUGUGUCUGAACGGUAGUUUCAAUAUAAAUCUGGUUAUAUAGAAUUGUUAUCGGGAACUUGCAUAGGACGCUUGAUUUAAAUUAUUUCAAAUGAUGAUUUUUGGGUUCUAUAAUGCUUAGGCGUAGGUUUGGUUGAACAUGUUAUUCAGAUUAGCCGUGAUUUUGUGACGCUUGCUCCAAAAUCACAUUAAAUCAAAUUCUAGAUUUUUUUGACGCUUGCUCCAAAAAUUAGCAGUAGUUCUAAUGAAUUAAUUGAUGCUUAAACGGUUAGUUUUAUAGCUAAAUUAGAGAGAAUAAAUUUAAUACCUGUGAUAGACCCGAAUAGAAUCUAACAAACCAGUGGAUUGAUUGUUUUGCCAAAUAGUUAAUUCUGCCAUUUUGAUCGUCUUUUCCACAAAUAAAACCCCUAAUUUACUUUCUUUUUUCUGUUCUAGUUUGGUUAUUAACAAUACAAAGAUCCCCGAUAAACGAGCAAGGUUUAAUUGCCUUGUACUGUUUUGUGAAUUCGGACUCAAAAUCACAUCAAUACAAACUAUAAUGUGUGGAGCAAAGGAAAGUAGUAACCAACAUCAAAGUAAACACAAGCAAUAACAACACCUAAAUCUAAUCUAGGAAUCAAAUGAAAAGUACAAAACCACAAGCAAAAGAUAAAGAGAGAAGAGAAACAAAUACACCAAAGAUUGUUGACCCAGUUCGGUCCAACUUAACCUACUCUGGGGGAGAGAUUGAUCUCUCCAAUCCACUAUCAAUGAGUUCUUACAAAGAGAUAUAAAUGGGUAACAAGAAAUUAGCUUCAACAAGCUUACAAAAAACAACCCUAAUUUCUAUCCGUUUUCCCAAUCUCACAAAUGAACAAGACACUCAAUGAUUUUCACUACCCCAAGGUGUUUACAAUGUUUCUCAACCUAAGAGAACUCUAAUCAAAGACCCUCAACCCACAAGUUACCUCCUUUGAUUUCCCAAGUUGUCAUCUCUUGAAGCUCUCUUGAACCACACUUCAAUAAAAACACUUAAAUAGCAGUCUUCAGCUGUCAAUAUCGUACGACCCACGGUACGACCAACCUUAUGUCAACGUGUCAAGCAAGCCGAAAAUCGUGACACAUUUUCCCAAAAUCGUAUCACGAUUGAACAAGAACACCCAUCAAAACAUGCUCUCGGCAUUGCCAAAUCGUGACACGCCUAUGAAAUCAUGUCACGAUUUCUCUGUUUCUCCAAACCACAAAUUUGAAGCCAAUAUCAACAUGUACUACUCUUUUUAUAACAAUUAUUUUGACCGCGAAUUACAGUGAUCAAAUUGGCACCGUCGUCGGGGAUCUCCGAUAAGGAUUAUCCAAAUUAAGAACCUUCAGUAACAACUCUUAACAUUUUCUCUCGAGUUUUCAUUGUAUUAGGUUCUGAUGUCGGAUAUUUCAUUUAAGCUAAAAAAAAUAAUUGAUUUCCAAUCAACUACUCCGAUUGCUGCGAAAUUUGGUGAGCAGUUCUAACAGUCAACUACUCCCAUGUUUUCCAAAUACACUCAUCCUUGCAUAUAAUGAUGUUGUUAGGGAAUACGAUGGAAAGACCAAACAUUAGGAUAUAAAAGGCUCAACCCAUACAAAUUUAUUUACAAGACCAAAAGAGUGAUAAAAUAUAUGUAUAUUCUGUUCCUUUUGAGUGUCAUUUUACAUAAAAUGUUUUUUUUAGGGAGGAAACAAAGCAAAUUUUUUGUUCCUUUGUAAUUGUCAUAUCAAAAUUUCAAACUAGCAUUAAAUUUUGUUUUCUUAAUAUUACCUCUUAUUUAUUGCAGAGAGUUAAAUAAGUGAGUUGAGAUGAUAAAUAAUUUAAGGUAAGAUGAAAUUGUUAAUAAAAAGUAGCAAAAUUUAAUAGCUUUAUUGGUUUGUGUAAACAGCCUUAAAACAACAAUUUCUUUUUUUUAUAAAUCUAAAUUAACCCACUCAAUUGGCACCAAAGAGAAUCUAACCUGAGACCUCUCACAUCCCAAGCCAAUGUCACUAGGCCAUAAAACAACAAUUAAAAAUGAACCGAUGGGGUAAUAAUUACUUAAUAGGAAGAUGCACUAGAAAAUCUUAUAAUCUUAGAAUAUGUACGAUAAAUAAUUUGAUAGUCUGUUGCAUAGGUAAAUCAUUCUAUUUUUUGAUGAAUAAUAAAUUUGUAAAUCUUAUAUUUGUGUACCUCGUAUUUUUUUCGAACAUUAUAUGUCAUCAAAACAAAAUAAAAUGAACACAAGACCUAACCAAAGAAAACUAGAGUGCACAAUUCUCUUUAUUCAUUUCUACUUUACUUCAGCUAUGUAUUAAAGUUUAUUCAAGAAUAUUUAUUACAGCCCCUAAAAACGAAUGUUUAUUACAAGUUACAACAUAUUAAAAAUCGAAGUUAAAUGCUAAGUAACUUUUAUUUAUAGAAUUUUAUCACUCCUGACAUAGUUGAGAUAACUCCAAGCAAUAUGAAAUUUAGAAAAUUCAGAGCUCAUGCUCAAUUUCUUAAAUUCGUUUUCGGUUCUUUCCUUUCCAUAUUGUAUUAAAAACAUGAGAUUCUCAAUAGCAUAAGAAUGCUUAGACAUAUUGCUUAGGUUUGGAGCCUUUGGAAUUACAUAAUCCAAAACAGUCUCCUUUUCGUAUUUUGGCAAAGCUUAGUAACAAUUUCUUAAAAAUUUCACACAUUCUUUAUUUGCCCAAUUGAUACCUUUUUAUACCAAUUGAUACCUUUUAUUGAAGGACUAGAUCAUCGACAUGUGCAAUGCACGCGUCUUUUAAAAUGUACUACCUUCCAACUCUUUUUUUUUUACUUUAUGAUAUCACCCAUGCAAUGAAUGGGGUGAGCUAUAUGAGAUUAUGAUAUAUAUAUUUUUACAUAACUAUAAACAAUGUGUCUGAUUUUUAGUUUGACGGUCUAAUUACCAUUAAUGUAGUAAAUCUACUCUACUAGUUUCUUAACAUGUUUGACGCAUGAAGUGCAUGUGACGAUUGAAACAUGUAUUAUUUAUUAGAAAAUAAUAAAAUUAUUUUUUGUAAAAAUAUCAUAAUCUCAUAUAAGGUAAACCAUUUAAAAAAAAAAAAAAACAAAUCAAGACUCGUUCACGUUGCUCCUUUACAACACAAUCUUAAACAUCUUUGUGUUCCGUCAUCAUCAAACUAUGAAACUUCUAUGCCCUAAGCUCAUCCCUUUCCAUCUGACUUGGUAGAUGGAUUAUUAGCAUCUUUCAAGCACUCCUAUACAAAAUGAUAAAUUUAAAAUUAAAACAAACAUUGAAUUUUCUCUGUGCGUGUGAUGGACACAAACAUCCAACAUAGCCUAAAGGCAAAGUUGAUUUAUUCUAGAACAGUUAUAUCUUCAUGUGAUUCUAUAAGAAAGUUAAAACCAAAAGUAUCAUACUUUGGGGACCUUCAAACUAUUUUCUUUAAAAGUUAAGGAAAAUGUAGAUCAAAAUCAGAUAGAAUCAUAUAAAACAUAUUAAAUAAGUACAAAUUAGUUACAAACCCGUGCUUCGCACGGGUUGAAUAACAUAUCUUGUAAAAAAAAUUAUUCCAAAGGAAAAAUGAUCAAAUUAAUGAAUAUUGUACAAACUCGGAUAUUCUAAAAAAUCACUUUUACUGAAAUUUUAAAAAACUUUGUUAUAAAGGAGAAAUGAGCAAAUUAAGGGAAAAAGCUGCAUUUUUUUAUGAAAUUGUUGUCGUUCAUAAAUGUGAAAAUCAAGCAAGCAUAUUGCACAAAUCUCAGCUAUAUGUACAUUUUUAAAACAUUUACCAAAGCAUUAUAAAGAUUUGCUGUAGGAAAAUAGCAUGUUCUAUUUGGUUCAAGAGAUUAGGAAAACAACAUUAUAAUUAACAUGAUACUAAUUGGAACCAAUGAAGCAACCAACAAUGUGCAGAUUAACGUUAUAUAAUAGUCAGGUUUAUAAAAGAGACUGCAAGUGUCAUAGACUAACCAAAAAUGGAUUUUUGCCAAUAUUUACAUCAGACAAAAUGAAAAGAACAAAUGACAUUCCAAAGUCAAGAUAGGUUACGAUUACAGUCCAAAGGGAUACGCCAAAAUAGUAGAAGUUCAAAUAGUUUAACAGCAAAGAUAUAUUUUGGAACAGCUCGAACGUGCAAGUUCUUCGAUAACUUUUCGAGAUCAAAGAUGAGUUUACCACCUUCUUCCAUCACACGUUCUCUGCAGAAAUUAAACCACUGCGCCCCUAGUAUUUUUCAUAGCUUGCUCUUUCGGAGGUAAUGAGGCGACACUUAUACUUUCUCUGUGUCUGGUCAUCAAUGAGAAUGUUUGUUUUGCGCUUUUCCUUCAGAAUUGUUCUUGACACCUUUUUUGGGAAAUGCUAAACAGGGAAAUAACUGCAAUAUUAGUCUAAUGCAUAUUAACAUGGAUAAGAUGUAUGGGAAUAUAGUUACAUAUAAUUUAUAAAAUGAAGGUAGCAUAACUGAUUUUAAGUUAAAGAAAAUGUACCAUGACUUCUAAUGUAUCGUCCUAUUAUAUUCCUAUAAAAUCUAGAUAAAUGCAUGCAUGUGGAUUAUAUGUACCUCGUUGGCCAAUUAACAUUGUUGAAACAAAUGGAAAUUAAGCAUCACUCCUGCAUGCGCAUUUAUAGCUAACACCAUUUUACAUUGAUGUCUUCGAACAUUUGGUGCAACUCUCAUGAUACCAUCCAAACUGGUUAGGAUUGAAUUUAGUUGUUUUCCAAAUAGUGAUGCAAUAUGUUUCCUAACACAAAUUAUUCACAUGAAAUAAAGAAUAAUGCAAUAUGUAUUUUUAAUUUGUGCAUAAAAAACUUAAAGCAUGUUUGUGCAUAAAAAAUAAAAUUAAAAAAAAGCAGACCUUGACUAAGUUUAUAAAUUCAACAAUUGGCCUAACUUGAGACAGAUUGGAAAAAUCGUUGUACGAAGUACGUUGAGAAGAAGCCGAACUCUAACUUAAGUUCUGACUGUAGCUUUGACUCUGAGCUUGAGAAGUGUUAAGGUCACGAUAACAAUUCAAGAAACAUGGUCAAAAAAUAAUCAAAUCAGAUUGUGAAAUAAUAAGUUACUCUAACACUGUAUUGUGAAAUCAUAAUGCAAACUUACUAAUUCUUAAACUUCUCAACAACCGGAUGAUGUAGGUUGAUGAGCAACCUCAAACCUGACUAAUUGUUACAUAUAUUUGGGUUGCCGUUGACUAUAAAAUGGAAGCAAAGAACUCAAGGUAAAUAGAUGGUAAAUGAUAAAGUUACGAAGUAUUUUUCCCAUAGUGUUGCAUUAGCCAUAUUCCCACUACAUAAGGAAAUACAUCUUUCAGGUCAUUAUCAAACUUAUACAAAAUCCUAUCAUUUGAUGCUGACAAAUUAGAAAAUAAUACCUUUUAUUUUUCAACACAAUGUUCGUACACGGUUUCUUUCCAGUCCCAAUUGACGUUGUCUUGACAAUCUCAUGAAGAAGCCCGAUGAUUUCUUAAAAAGAAAAUUACAUCUAUAAGAACAUUAUAGUCGGUGAAAACAUAGAAAUAAAUGAAAGCACAUAAUUAUACCAUAUAAAACGUCAGUUUUGAAUUUUCCAUCUUGAAUUUCCUUAAAUGACUUAAAGCGAAAUUCAUGAGUAAGAACGUUGGUUUACUUGUCAUACUUCUGCACCUUUGUACCAGAAUCAAAAACAACUUUAAAGGGAUUAAAUGCAAUGUCAUUAUCAAGCACAUGACAUUUAUAGAAAGUAUAAGUCUUGUUUUCCUCGAUCAAAGCCUUCCAAUGCUCCAAUUCUCUAUAUCGAGUUAUUACAUGAACUCGAUCUCCCUAAAUCCGAGAAAGAAACCAAAUAAUAUAAAUAAAUCAAAAUGUACACUAAUAAGUAACAUUGAUAAAUCAUAAAGGAAAUUACAACAAAUCUUAAAUAACUCAUCUAACUUUUGCAUCACAAAUAAUGAGCUUCAUGCGUUGAUUCUCAUUACUACCAGUCACAAUCCAAGAAUCCAACACUCCAAAUCCUAUUUUUCAAAUGUCCAAAUCAUUUUUGAGAUCCUUAAUGUAGUCAUAAUCCCUUGACAUUGAAAGUCCUAUAUGAAAAUACAAUAAUACAUCAUUUAAUUUUAUUCCCUUUGUUCAUUCUCAUAUCGAAAGAAGCUAACAUAUUUUUAUGUGACCAAAUUUUCUAUCAUCAAAUCAACCUAAUCUUAAAUGCACAAAUUUCUGUAUCAUCAACUUUCUGGACUUCAAUGUGUUGGAACAAAAUGUGUUUCACAAUGAACCUUAUUAAGUUUUGAUGAUAACAAGGUAUUAAAAAUUGUCAAUUGGUUAUUACUAAUAAUUGUUCAAGUGUACAGGACCAAAGGCUACUCAAGUUAUUUCAAUAGGUCUUGGAAGAACAAUGNNNNNNNNNNNNNNNNNNNNNNNNNNNNNNNNNNNNNNNNNNNNNNNNNNNNNNNNNNNNNNNNNNNNNNNNNNNNNNNNNNNNNNNNNNNNNNNNNNNNNNNNNNNNNNNNNNNNNNNNNNNNNNNNNNNNNNNNNNNNNNNNNNNNNNNNNNNNNNNNNNNNNNNNNNNNNNNNNNNNNNNNNNNNNNNNNNNNNNNNNNNNNNNNNNNNNNNNNNNNNNNNNNNNNNNNNNNNNNNNNNNNNNNNNNNNNNNNNNNNNNNNNNNNNNNNNNNNNNNNNNNNNNNNNNNNNNNNNNNNNNNNNNNNNNNNNNNNNNNNNNNNNNNNNNNNNNNNNNNNNNNNNNNNNNNNNNNNNNNNNNNNNNNNNNNNNNNNNNNNNNNNNNNNNNNNNNNNNNNNNNNNNNNNNNNNNNNNNNNNNNNNNNNNNNNNNNNNNNNNNNNNNNNNNNNNNNNNNNNNNNNNNNNNNNNNNNNNNNNNNNNNNNNNNNNNNNNNNNNNNNNNNNNNNNNNNNNNNNNNNNNNNNNNNNNNNNNNNNNNNNNNNNNNNNNNNNNNNNNNNNNNNNNNNNNNNNNNNNNNNNNNNNNNNNNNNNNNNNNNNNNNNNNNNNNNNNNNNNNNNNNNNNNNNNNNNNNNNNNNNNNNNNNNNNNNNNNNNNNNNNNNNNNNNNNNNNNNNNNNNNNNNNNNNNNNNNNNNNNNNNNNNNNNNNNNNNNNNNNNNNNNNNNNNNNNNNNNNNNNNNNNNNNNNNNNNNNNNNNNNNNNNNNNNNNNNNNNNNNNNNNNNNNNNNNNNNNNNNNNNNNNNNNNNNNNNNNNNNNNNNNNNNNNNNNNNNNNNNNNNNNNNNNNNNNNNNNNNNNNNNNNNNNNNNNNNNNNNNNNNNNNNNNNNNNNNNNNNNNNNNNNNNNNNNNNNNNNNNNNNNNNNNNNNNNNNNNNNNNUGAGCAGUUGUAAUCUUUGUGAUUAUAGUGAAAUCUCCUUGGAAGUGCAAGGGGGACUGGACUACUUCCGUGUUGUGGAAGGAACCAGGAUAACUGCUUGUGUCUUUGUCUUUCUUUUCUCUGCUCUGUUCUUUUCCGCUGCAAUCUGUCUCUGAUCAUUUCAUCAGAAGCAAUCAAACUGCUUCUGGAGUUUUAUCAAAAGAAGUAUUUUUUAAGAGAAAAAGAAAAACACAAUUCAACCCCCCCUUCUUGUGUUUUUUUCACCUUCACAAUGAUGUGACCAAAACAAAUUUACACUAAUCAACUUUCAUACGGCUCAAUGAUAUAGGAAAGAAUAAACCAAAUAUGAAAACUGUUACAACUUUAGGAUUACUCACAAAAACUAAAAUAACCCACACGUAUCAAUUUUUUUUCAACUACAGUACCAGAAGUUAAAAUAACAAUUGUGUCAAAACCUUACCAUGAAAUAAAAAUCAAUCACCAUGACCUCUACUAUACUCCACAUAACAAAGAAAGAUUUUUCUAUAGCCAUGCAACAUAAAAAUUUCUGGUACAUAAUCCACUAACAAUUGAAAAAAAAAAAAAAAACAAAAAAAAAUUCUUAAAAUGCAGAACCGUGAAAAAAAGGAAGAAAACCACCUAUGAUGAAGCAAAAACUAAUACAAUGUCGAAAAUGAACCCCUCAAGCCAUAAAAAUCAGUCAACUCAAGUCAUGCAUGGUCUCAGAACCAUGUAAAAAGGAAGAAAAUGACCUCUUAUGAAGAAGAAAGUGUAAGAGAGUUCCCAGCUGAACUUAGAUACCGUUUGGUCAAAAGUUACUUCAAAACAAAGUUAAAAUAAAGGCCUUUAAGAAAUAAUCUAAAGUUGUUUGGUUUCUUUGUUUUUUAAGUUUUAAAGAUAUGUUUAAGUUAAAUGUUGUUUGGCAAAAUAUUGUACAAACUUUGAUUUUUUUUUUUUUUUUAUGGUGUCCGGAUUCAUACCCCGGACUUGGCAUAUAUUUAUGCAUUGUUGCUAUCAGCUGAGCUAAGCUCACGAGGACAAAACUUUGAAUUUAUUAUGAAUUAACAUAAUAAAUAAAAAAAUGUUUAAAAUAUUUUCUGAAGGCUAAAAAUGUUAAAAAAUAAAAGUUUUUUUUUUUUUUUUUUACAAAUACUAUAUUUACUCAAUAAUGUUUAUUUUGUAUAACAUGAAUACAAAUUUGUAUCAUCAUAUAAAUAACUUGUUAAAUAUUUGAAUAGGAGAAACAAUUUAAGGAGCCUGAAAUAAUAACAUAAAUAAUAUCAAAAUAGUUGAUUUUUUUACUAUUUCAAUUAUAUUCUAUAACAAAUUUCGUUUUAAGAAUACCUUAUUUUUGGUCUCAUUUAAAAAUACAAGAAUUUAUAUUAUAUGAUAUUAUAUUUGUUACAUUGUUGGUGUCAUGGAAACAAAUAUGUUUAGUUUUUUUGAAUAAGAAAAUAUAUAUAUAUAUAUAUAUAUAUAUAUAAGUAUAAUUUUUCUAGGCAUCUAUACCUUUUUUGAAGAAAAGACAUCUACAAUUUUACUUUUAAUUAAAAUCAUAAUUUUAUAAAAAUAAUCAUACGCAUUAUGCAACGCCAAAAAAUAUUAUACGCAUUAGCGUAACAAAAAAAAAAGACACACACAAAGUAUUACUCUAAACGCUAAUGUGUGAGUGAGUGUAUUAGCGAGUGUAUUUGUGAGGUUGUGAUGAUUAAACGAUAUCGAAAUUAAAUAUAUAUGUGAUAAAAAGAUAAUAAAAUUCCUUUGAAAAAAAGAUAAUAAAAUUAAAUGGAACCUCUUUAAAAAAUUAAAUGGAACAGUUCAAAAAAAAAAAAGUUAAAUGGAAGAAAAAAAAACAUAUUGAAAUAUAAUAUUAAAAAAUAAAAGAAAAGGUUCCUAGGGUGAGUUGAAAAGAGGUGCUUGUGAAACAAAUUAUCGAGAAGUAGUUUUUUAAAGUAACUUUCAACAACUUUUGGCCAAAGCUCAUUCCAUUCAAUUUCAGGCAUUCAAAAAAUGUAUUUUUUUUAGUAAGUAUUUAAUUGAUAUUGUGUUUGGUCUAACUUCUCCUUAAAAAUGUAGAGAAGUUGGAAAAAAGUCGGGACAAACAAUACAUUAAUCUUCCACAACGACAAUAUAGAAGCAACUGAAUUUAAAAUUAUUUUUAUUCUUAUAAAAUAAAAAAGAAAAUAAUAUAUAAUAAAUAAAAAAGAAAAUAAUUAGAAAAUAAAAUAAAAUAAAAUAAUUUGGAUGAGGUGGCACUCUCCAAGGUUAAAGAAUUAUGAAAUUAUCAAAUUGCCCCUCCUAAGAGCAAAAUUGGAAAUUCAUAUGGCAUCAAUUUUAAAUAAAUAGUUAAUAGAUAAUAGAUUCAUAAACAUAUUUCACAAUUAUAUUUAUUCGAAAGUAGGGUUCUAAUAAAGUACAAAAAAUAUCAUUUUGAUUAAGUAUCUAAAUGCUUGCUUUCAAAAGCAUAUUUGGCUAAUUGCGCUACUAUUGAAUCAAAUAUAACAGUACUUGCUAAAGCAUGGUUAAAGAAACAUCCACAUCACAAAUUCAAAGUUUAUUAAAAGUUAAAUGAACUACUUUUUUUUUUGAGCAAAGUUAAAUGAACUACUUCUUCAAUGCAAUCAAUGUAUUUGGACAAUUUCAGAUUUGAGAAAAUUUUUAAUUCACGCUUUUAAGCCAAUUAUUACAUAUACAGGUCCACAUUCACCAAUACAAUUUGGAAUAGUUUUUUGAAGGAAUUAGUGGAUGUUGUAUGCCUUUUUUACCAUAACAGAUCCAUCUUGUACCAUGAAGAGAAAAAUAAUUAAUUGUACCAUGAACAAUAAAUAAAAGAUAUGCCUAUAGUUGAGAAAUUCAAGUAAAAUAUGAAAAAUUCAACAAUAUCUUAAUGUUCAUCUUUACUCCUUUAAUUUCAUAGCUUAUAGCUGCAAAAUUCAAGUAAAAUAUGAAAAAUUCAACUGUCUCUUAAUGCACCAUCCAUUGCCAAUUCAUCUCAUGUUAAAAAAUUAUAAAUUUUGCUAAAUAAAUCUUUUAUAAUGUUCUAAACAUGUGUUUGAAAUUUUUUUCAAAAAUUUAAGAGUUUGAAGAUAAUUAAACAGAUUUAGUUUUAGCAGGGACUAAAAUUACAUGUAAUUUUUUUUAUAGGGACUAAAAAAACUAUUAAAAUUAAGUAAAAAAAUAAACAUAGAAGUUCUCAAUUUUAUAGGGAUUAAAACCAUAUUUAACAAAAUUUAUAUAUUUAAUGUAAAAUACACAAGUUUUAAAACAUACUUACUAUCUUAAAUAUUUUAACAUGUGUAAAUUUGUACAUGAUAGAACAACCUUGUAGUCCCAUGAGCAUAACUCAGUUGGUAGGACAAUGCAUUAUUAUAUGCAGGGGCCGGGUUUCGAACCGUGGACACCUGACAAAAAAAAAAAAAAAGAACAACCUUAUAAAAAAGGGUUAUGCUAGGACACUUGUUAAGGAUUCAAAAAAGAAAAUAAUUUAUGAAUUUCAUCUAAAAAAUGUUUAAUUUUGAAUUUUCAAUGUGGUGAAAACAAAAGUUUCAAUAAAAAGUUUCUUAUUUCAACUUUUAAACAAAAAAUAUAUUUAAUGUAAAAAAAUACAUAUGAAUUUUAUGCACUUAUUAGCAUUCGUUAGCAUUCUAAUAUAAAAAAUACAUGUAUAAUUGUUUUCUCAAUGUAUUAUGCACUUCAAGGUUAUAUAUAUGAAUUUUAUUUCAUUUUAGGUCAAUGACCAUUUUAUAUCAAAAUUGAUUCGAUGUAACAAAUUAUUAUUUUUAGUAUUAUCUCCAUUUUAAUGAUGAUUAAUUAUAAUGUACUAUUAUUAAAUCUUUAAUGAUAAAAUUAUCAUUAAAAUAUAGUUUUUUUUAUUGAAUAAAAUAGUGCUAUUUAAAAAACAAAACAAACAAAAAAAAAUUACCAUUUGAUGGUGAAGUCGACAAGACAAAUGCAGAAUAGUUGCAUCAUUUGAUUUGGAUUAUUAUAUGAGAGAACGCGAACCACGUGCAGACCAUAGAGUACAAUAAAGCUGGUUGAAGUUGAAUUAUUAUACGUACGUACGAGAGAACACACCAACCAAAUUGCAUCUAAAGUGUCUUGGUCCAAAUCCAAACCUUUCUCACUCAGUUUAUUGCUCUUGAACUCAUAACAAAAAAUACCUUUGCUCAUUGUCUUUUACAUUUGAUUCUUGAAUUGAUCUCUUCUUUUUAUUUCUGUUUUUAUUAAUUUGUCUUGCAGUUGUUUGCUAUUUUCCAUUCUUAUUUAAAAAAAAAAAACCAAAACUCAAAAAUAGUGAUGGAAAGUUUUCUGUAUUUUUAAUUUGUACUCACUCACUCUGUUCAUUUAAAAGAUUGGAGUUUCUUCAACUAAUAAGAGAGUAGUAGGUAUGCAUUAAUUAAUUUGUUUUCCUUUAAGUUAUAGUAGAUAGUAAAGUUUGUUUUAAUGUUUUGUUGUUUUGCAGAUCAUUAAGUUUCUGCUUUUUGAAGCCAUUUUGCAUGUUAGAUCGCUCCAUCAAUAUAGCACCAGGUAAGAGAUCUAUGCUCUUCAAAUUAUCAAAAGAUCUAAUGAUCUUUCUUUUUAGUAAUUGUAUUAAUAUUAUAUUUGAAAAUAUUGUUGUUGUUUGAUAGUUACUGUUGAAGGUUGUUUGCGAUUAUGAAUGGAGUUUGUGAAAGUGAAAGUGAUUAUGUUUAUAACAAGUUCUAGCUUGCGGAAGCAAACAAUACGGAGUUUCUUCAACAAGUGGUAUGCAUUACUUUGUCUUCCUUUCCUAAUAAAGAGUAAAAUUUUGCAAUUUGUGAUUGAAGGUUUUUGUUUUUAAUAUUUUUUUUUUUGAAGGAUUGUUUUUAAUAUUUUGUUGUUGUUCUUUGCAGGUCAUAAAAUUUCUACAUUUUUCGAAGCCAAUUUGCAUAAUCCAACAGGUAAGAGGUCCAUGCUCUUUAGUAAUUUAAUCUACUUAACAUCUUAAACGCCUUGAUUUGUCUUUAUUUAUGGGAUAAACUUAGGGUCCGUUUGUUUAGAUUUAAAAAAAAAUGGAUUUUCCUUUUUAUUUUUAAAAAUGAAUUUUUCUGAAAUUUACUCAAAAAUAGUAAAGUUAUUUCAAACUUAUUUCAUAUAAGUUAAAAAAGAGAUUUUCACAUUCACUUAACUUAAAUAUUCAUUGUUCGAGAUUUUACAUAGUAAAAAUCACUUUUUUUUUCUUUUCAAAAUAGCAUCUUUUAAAAAUGAUUUUUAUGAAAAACUAUUUGGAAUAGUUUUUUUUUUGGAGAUUUUUUUCAAAAUUUUAGUAUAAAAAGAAAUUACAAUCAAAUUAUGAAAUACUUAGAAUGAUAUUUUAAGACAAACUAUUCAAACGGAUUAUUCAAAUAAUUUAAAGUUUUUCUUAAAAAUUUCUUUGUUAAAGAAUUAUAACAAAAAAACACAUUACACUACCAAAAUAUAUUUUAAAAAAAGCUAUACAACAAACGGGUAUAAUUAGGAUACGUUUUAGUAUUAAAUUUGUUGUGAAGUCAUAUAAAGAGGAAUGCUAUCAACAACGUUCUCUUUUGAUUCCUAAAAAAAAAAAAAAAAAAGAGUAAGUUACACUCACAUCCCCUUAAAUAUGCUUAAAUUACACUUUUCUCCCCUCUUAUGUUAAAAUAUACACUCCCCUCCAUUGAGAAGUAAAACUUAUACUUCCCACACUUAUAAGAUGCUUGAAAUACAACCCCUCCCUUAAUAAUUAAAUAGGCACGACACUUUAAUUUAUUUUAACAUAAAUAAAUAUUUUUAUGAUACGUAUUAAUUUUGAACCACCAUUUAAGAAAAAUUAAUUAAUUUCUUUAUAAUUUAAAUGUCAAUCAUAAUUAAAUUUAAAUAUUUUGCUAUUGAUUUUAUAAUUUAGAGUAUAAAAUUAACUUUUAAAUAACCCUGCUUUAUUGUCUUUAGUAAUUUUUCACAUAUUUUAAUUUUAUUAAUGAUUAAAAAUAAAUAAAUAAAAAUUACACACGUGGCGUCCACGUCAACAUUGAUUUGUUUAAAAUUAACCUAGGAGGUCAAAACUGCAAAUGGAACAAUACUUAAAGGACUGGAUUGUAUUUUAUUUUGUUAGAGGGCCAAAAUCUCAUCUUACUGAUACUUAGGGGUCUAUGCUCUUCAAAUUAUCAAAAGACCUAAUGAUCUUUCUUUUUAGUAAUUGCAUUAAUAUUAUAAUUGAAAAUGUUGUUGUUGUUUAAUGUUUAUGGAGUUUCUUCAACAAGUGGUAUGCAUUAAUUUGUUUUCCUUCGCUAAUAUAGAGUAAAAUUUUGCAAUUUGUGAUUCAAGUUUUUUGUUUUUAAUAUUUUGUUGUUGUUCUUUGUAGAUCAUGUAAUUUCUACAUUUUUCGAAGCCAAUUUGCAUAAUCCAACAGGUAAGAGGUCCAUGCUCUUUAGCAAUUUAAUCUACUUAACAUCUUAAACGCCUUGAUUUGUCUUUAUUUAUGGGAUAAAUUUAUGGUCCGUUUGUUUAGGAAGUUGCGAUUAAAAAAAAAAAAAAAAAACUACAUAUGUGGUUUUCACAUCAGCAUUGACUUAGUCAAAAUUGACCUAGGACCAAAACUGCAAAAGAGACAAUACUUAAAGGGCUGUAUUGUAUUUUAUUUUGUUAGGGGGCCAAAAUCACAUCUUCCCAAUACUUAAGGGGCCAAAACUGCUAUUAAGUCAUUUUUUUAACUAAUAUAUAAUUUUUUUAAAUGUAACAUAUAUAUUGUUCGAUAUCUUGAAUAUUUUCAAACAUUAAAUUUAUAUAUAUAUAUAUAUAUAUGGGGUUUGCUACAAUAGACCCACCUCUUUUUGUGAAGGUCCAUUUUAACAUCAUGCACCUUUUCAUUUGGACCAAAAACCCAUUUUUUUUGCUUUUUGAAAGAAGAAAAAUUAAAGGAUAAACUUGUAAUUUAGGUUUUGUGAUUAAUUGUGGGGUGUAAGCUCUUUCUCUCUCCCAUUGAUUAUCUUUUUCUCUCUCCCUUUGAUUGCUGCCGUGUUCCUUUCUUAAAAAAAAAAAAAAAAAAGACUCCAAUUCCUCCAUUUUCAGUUCACGAAAAUCAAGUUUAAAUCAUUUCCUAUGACUUUUGUUCUUUGUAACAUGCUUAAGAGUGUUAUUGUAAAAAUGGAUUUAAAUUACAAUUUUAUCCUUUAAUUUUUAUUCUUUCAAAAAGCAAAAAGAUGGGUUUUUAUUCCAAAUGAAAAGGUGCAUAUACUAAAAUGGACCUUCACAAAAAGAGGUGGGUCUAUUGUAGCAAAACCCAUAUAUAUAUAUAUAUUCAAUAUUUUUUUUUGAAGAAGUUAAGUUAGUCCAUCUAAAUUGACACCGGAGAGAAUCGAACCUCAGACCUUAUGGAGGAGCACACUCUCAGGUCAUAAGUCAAAACCACUAGACCAACCCAAAUGAGUUGAUAAUCAAAUAUAUUAAUAGUCAAAAUUGAAUAUUGCCAUAUGUGAAAUGGUUGACUGCGAAAUGUAUUAAGGAACGGAGAGAGUACUAUUUAGACACACAUCAACAACAACAACAAUCAAGUUUUAUUCCACUAAAUGGAGUCGGCUAUAUGAAUCAAACGACGUCAUAGUGUUCUAUCAAAAUCAAUGCUUUCUCAAACUCAUUUAUCUUUAAAUACUUCAUAAUAGUUUCUCUUGUGGUUUUUCUAGGUUACCUUUAGUGACAUAACUCCUUUUACCUCAUCUGCUCUCCCUACUACAUAAUCCAAGUGUAUUUUAUUUACAUGCCCAAACCAUCUCUCUCUAUAUAUAUAUAUAUAUAUAUAUAUAUAUAUAUAUAUAUAUGUACACUAUGAAGAGAUUAGCUGAAACUUAAUUUGUACCCACUUUGUAAAUUUGUACUCGCAUUAUUUAUUAUUAUUUAUCUGUUCUCUUUCACUAAUAACUCGUAAAAUCCUUCAAUAUUUUGCAAAUUGUGAGUGUAGUUUGUUUUGAUAUUUUUUUGUUGUUUGCAGAUCAUUUAGUUUCUUCUUUUUGAAACCAUUUUGAAUAAGUUUUGUAGAUCACACCAUCAAAAGCACCAGUUGUUACGUUGAUUCAUAAUCUAGCCUAAUGAUCUUUCCUUUUUGUAAUUUAAUCAGAUAUUAUAACAAACUAAUAAUCAGAUAUUCUUGACGCGUAAUUGUGAUGAUUAAUCCUUUGAGUUUUGUAGGACCCAAAUUGUCAAGAAACUGUCCCUAACGUCAACCGUUGAUCUAAUUAAUUUUUUUUUUUUUGAUAGAGGGUUUGGCUACCUCUCAAAUAGGUGACUUUAGAAAUCAAACAUAGUUCUUUUGCUCGAGAUAAACAUGUUGCCAACUCUCCCACCAUGUUGGUUAAACUCGAUUCCUUGGCUAAGCCUCUUGGAUUAAUUCAGAAAUUUUAAUUUUACAUGUUUUUUUUAUAUUUUAUAUCUUUAACUUUUUGGUUGAAGUUUAUAUCUUUAACUUUUCUCUUGAGCUCUAAAAUGAAUUAUAUUUAUCUCUCAAAAACAAAAUGCCUAGGACAAAAAAUAUUGAGUUCAGAGUAAAACAACGGAACUUAAUUAUGGAAGAACCCAAAAACUAUACUUUUAGAACUUGAACGGAUGAAAUCAUUUUAUUUAUGGAGAUUAGAACUAAAUUCAGUCUUUUUAUAGAGAUAGAAUUAUAUUUAAAAAUUUUAUAAAAAAUUCAGUCUUAAAUUUUUUAUUGGUUACACAUGAUUGUAAUGAAAUUCAAUUCGCACAGUCUAUCAAUAUUAUUGGAUUUUAUUGUCUAUAUUUUUCUAAUUCUAACCAAAGUGUGUUCUAUUAUUAAUUGCUGUUUUCCAUCGGAAAAAAGAGUAAUGCGUUAAUGUCCUCACAUUUCCAAAUGUUGCCCUUAUUUCUUCUGCCUCAUCCAUAAAUGGUAUCUUUUACUUUCACUUUCAGAUUUUGACUCAAGUCACAAAGAAGAGGAGAAGAAAAUAAAAUCAAUGGAAAUUUUAACUUCUGUUGUUGGAAAAAUAACAGAAUAUACCAUUGUGCCUAUUGGACGUCAAGCAAGUUACUUGAUAUUCUACAAAGGCAACUUCAAGAAGUUAAAGGAUCAUGUUGAAAACCUUCAGGCUGCAAGAGAAAGAAUGCUCCAUUCGGUUGAAAGAGAAAGGAGAAAUGGUAGAGAAAUUGAAAAAGAUGUUCUGAAUUGGUUGGAGAAAGUGAACGAGGUCAUUGAAAAUGCAAAUCGGCUUCAAAACGAUCCUCGUCGUCCCAAUGUUAGGUGCUCAGCAUGGUCAUUCCCCAACUUGAUUUUACGUCAUCAACUAAGUAGGAAAGCUACAAAAAUUACAAACGAUGUUGAUCAAGUUCAAAGAAAGGAGGUUUUUUAUCAAAUUGGCUACCUUCCCCCUCUUGAUGUAGUAGCCUCCUCCUCCUCAACAAGAGAUGGUGAAAAGUAUGACACAAGGGAGUUGCUUAAGGAGGACAUUGUGAAGGCUUUAGCAGAUCCCACUUCACGCAACAUUGGGGUCUAUGGGUUAGGUGGGGUGGGGAAGACCACUCUGGUGCUGAAAGUUGCUGAGACAGCCAAUGAACAUAAAUUGUUUGAUAAAGUGGUUAUCACAGAAGUAUCGAAAAAUCCAGACAUUAAAAAAAUUCAAGGGGAGAUUGCAGAUUUCUUGAGUCUGCGAUUUGAAGAGGAGAGUAAUCGUGGCAGAGCAGAACGCCUUAGACAAAGAAUCAAGAUGGAGAAAAGUAUCCUUAUCAUUCUAGAUAACAUAUGGACCAUACUUGAUUUGAAAACAGUGGGGAUUCCAUUUGGUAAUGAACAUAAUGGUUGCAAGUUGUUGAUGUCAUGCAGAAGUCAAGAAGUGUUGUCGCAAAUGGAUGUUCCAAAAGAUUUCACUUUCAAAGUUGAACUUAUGAGUGAAAACGAGACAUGGAGCUUGUUUCAAUUUAUGGCAGGGGAUGUGGUUAAAGAUAGCAAUUUGAAAGAUCUACCAUUUUAAGUGGCCUUAAAAUGUGCAGGUUUGCCUCUUAGGGUAGUGACAGUAGCGCGUGCAAUGAAAAAUAAGAGGGAUGUUGAAUCUUGGAAAGAUGCAUUAAGGAAAUUACAAAGUAAUGAUCAUACAGAGAUGGAGCCUGGAACUUAUUCUGCUUUGGAAUUGAGUUACAACUCAUUGGAGAGUGAUGAAAUGAGGGCUCUCUUCUUGCUUUUUGCAUUACUGUUACGUGAAAACGUAGAGUACUUUCUCAAAGUUGCAAUAGGGUUGGACAUAUUGAAGCAUGUUAAUGCCAUAGAUUAUGCAAGAAACAGACUUUACUCAAUAAUCAAAUCUUUGGAGGCGAGAUGUCUUUUGCUUGAAGUUAAAACAGACAGAAAUAUCCAAAUGCAUGACUUUGUUCGUGAUUUUGCUAUCUCCAUAGCACGUAGGGAUAAACAUGUACUUCUAAGAGAACAAUCUGAUGAGGAAUGGCCAACCAAGGACUUUUUUAAAAGGUGCACACAGAUUGCUCUGAAUAGGUGUGAUAUGCACGAGCUUCCUCAAACGAUUGAUUGUCCAAACAUUAAGCUUUUCUAUUUGAUUAGUAAGAAUCAAUCUUUGAAAAUCCCCGAUACUUUUUUUAAGGGUAUGAGAAGCCUUAGAGCGCUAGAUUUAACAUGCUUGAAGUUGUUAACAUUACCCACAUCAUUUCGGUUACUAACAGAACUUCAAACAUUGUGUUUGGAUUUUUGUAUUUUGGAAAAUAUGGAUGCAAUAGAAGCUUUGCAAAAUUUAAAAAUUCUCAGACUCUGGAAUUCUUCAAUGAUCAAGUUGCCAAGAGAAAUAGAGAAAUUGACUCAAUUGAGAAUGCUUGAUUUGAGCCAUUCAGGAAUAGAAGUGGUCCCACCCAACAUCAUAUCAAGUUUGUCUAAAUUGGAGGAGUUGUACAUGGAAAAUACAUCAAUAAAUUGGGAAGAUGUGAAUUCAACGGUUCAAAAUGAAAAUGCUAGUCUUGCCGAGCUUCAAAAACUACCCAAAUUGAUAGCUCUAGAAUUACAAAUUCGUGAGACUUGGAUGUUGCCAAGGGACUUGCAAUUGGUGUUUGAGAAGCUGGAAAGAUAUAAAAUAGCUAUUGGAGAUGUAU